rnacentral:rRNA from 1 species
UACGGAGGGUGCAAGCGUUAUCCGGAUUCACUGGGUUUAAAGGGUGCGUAGGCGGAUAGGUAAGUCCGUGGUGAAAUCCUGCAGCUUAACUGCAGAACUGCCGUGGAUACUAUCUAUCUUGAAUAUCGUGGAGGUUAGCGGAAUAUGUCAUGUAGCGGUGAAAUGCUUAGAUAUGACAUAGAACACCCAUUGCGAAGGCAGCUAACUACGCGAUAAUUGACGCUGAUGCACGAAAGCGUGGGGAGUCAAACAGGA